UGAGCAAUCUGCCCUUCUCUUCGGAAUAAGCGUUGGAAACGACGUCUAAUGCCGAAUACGACCUCCUUUCGCAUGAUCGGAGGUGGAAAGCUCCGGCGGAGAAGGAUGAGCUCGCGGCCUAUCAGCUAGUUGGUGUGGGUAAUGGCCCACCAAGGCGACGACGGGUAGCCGGCCUGAGAGGGUGACCCGGCCACACGUGGGACUGAGACACGGCCCAGACCUCCGUACGGGGAG
rnacentral:rRNA from 1 species